rnacentral:rRNA from 1 species
ACACAUGCAGUCGAGGGGUAACAGAUCUUCGGAUGCUGACGACCGGCGAACGGGUGAGUAACACGUAUGCAACUUACCCAUAACUCGGGAAUAGCCCAAAGAAAUUUGGAUUAAUACCCAAUAAUACAGGCGUACCGCAUGGUAUUCUUCGUUAAAGAAUAAUCGGUUAUGGAUAGGCAUGCGUUCUAUUAGGUAGUUGGUGAGGUAACGGCUCACCAAGCCGACGAUGGAUAGGGGAACUGAGAGGUUGUCCCCCCACACUGGUACUGAGACACGGACCAGACUCCUACGGGAGGCAGCAGUGAGGAAUAUUGGUCAAUGGACGAAAGUCUGAACCAGCCAAAUCGCGUGAAGGAAGAAGGUAUUAUGUAUCGUAAACUUCUUUUGUAAGAGAGUAAAGUGCACUACGUGUAGUGUAUUGCAGGUACCUUACGAAUAAGCAUCGGCUAAUUCCGUGCCAGCAGCCGCGGUAAUACGGAAGAUGCAAGUGUUAUCCGGAUUUAUUGGGUUUAAAGGGUGCGUAGGUGGUCUAAUAAGUCAGUGGUGAAAUCUCUUUGCUUAACAAGGAAAUUGCCAUUGAAACUGUUAGACUUGAGAAUGGACGAGGUAGGCGGAAUUCGUAGUGUAGCGGUGAAAUGCAUAGAUAUUACGAAGAACUCCAAUAGUGUAGACUGCUUACCAGACCAUAUCUGACACUAAGGCACGAAAGUGUGGGUAUCAAACAGGAUUAGAUACCCUGGUAGUCCACACAGUAAACGAUGAAUACUAACUGUUUGCGAUAUACAGCAAGUGGUCGAGCGAAAGCGUUAAGUAUUCCACCUGGGAAGUAUGCCGGCAACGGUGAAACUCAAAGGAAUUGACGGGGGCCCGCACAAGCGGAGGAACAUGUGGUUUAAUUCGAUAAUACGCGAGGAACCUUACCCGGGCUCGAACGAUAUUUGAAUACAUCCGAAAAGAUGUAGCUAGCAAUAGCAAAUACCGAGGUGCUGCAU